rnacentral:rRNA from 1 species
GACGAACGCUGGCGGCGUGCCUAACACAUGCAAGUCGAGCGGAAAUAAUUAAAGUUUACUUUGAUUAUUUUAGCGGCGGACGGGUGAGUAACACGUGGGCAACCUGCCCUUGAGAGGGGGAUAACACAGAGAAAUUUGUGCUAAUACCGCAUAACAUUUAGACUUCGCCUGGAGUUUAAAUCAAAGGAGUGAAUCCGCUCAAGGAUGGGCCCGCGGCGCAUUAGCUAGUUGGUGAGGUAAUGGCUCACCAAGGCGACGAUGCGUAGACGACCUGGGAGGGUGAUGUGCCAAAUUGGAACUGAGCCACGGUCCAGACUACUACGGGAGGCAGCAGUGGGGAAUAUUGCGAAAUGGGGGAAACCCUGACGCAGCAACGCCGCGUGAGCGAUGAAGGCCUUCGGGUUGUAAAGCUCUGUCUUUGGGGACGAUAAUGACGGUACCCAAGGAGGAAGCCACGGCUAACUACGUGCCAGCCGCCGCAGUACAAC